GACGAACGCGGCGGCGUGCCUAAUACAUGCAAGUCGAGCGAGCGGAACCAGCAGAUCUGCUUCGGCAGUGACGCUGGGAAAGCGAGCGGCGGAUGGGUGAGUAACACGUGGGGAACCUGCCCCAAAGUCUGGGAUACCACUUGGAAACAGGUGCUAAUACCGGAUAAGAAAGCAGAUCGCAUGAUCAGCUUUUAAAAGGCGGCGUAAGCUGUCGCUAUGGGAUGGCCCCGCGGUGCAUUAGCUAGUUGGUAGAGUAACGGCCUACCAAGGCAAUGAUGCAUAGCCGAGUUGAGAGACUGAUCGGUCACAUUGGGACUGAGACACGGCCCAAACUCCUACGGGAGGCAGCAGUAGGGAAUCUUCCACAAUGGACGCAAGUCUGAUGGAGCAACGCCGCGUGAGUGAAGAAGGUUUUCGGAUCGUAAAGCUCUGUUGUUGGUGAAGAAGGAUAGAGGUAGUAACUGGCCUUUAUUUGACG
rnacentral:rRNA from 1 species